AGUAAAAUCAGCUAAUUAAGCUCUCGGGCCCAUACCCCGAACAUGUUGGUUAAAAUCCUUCUUUUGCUA
rnacentral:tRNA from 1 species